rnacentral:rRNA from 1 species
GACGAACGCUGGCGGCGUGCUUAACACAUGCAAGUCGAACGGCAAGGCCCUGCGUUCGUGGUGUGCUCGAGUGGCGAACGGGUGAGUAACACGUGAGUAACCUGCUCUUGACUUUCGUAUAACUUAAGGUAACUGGGGUUAAUACCGUAUCGCAUCUCCUGUUGCAUGGUGGGGAUGGGAUCGUUUCGGCGGUUGGGGAUGGACUCGCGGCUUAGCAGUUUGUUGGUGGGGUAGUGGCUUGCCAAGGCGUUGAAGGGUAGCUGGCCUGAGAGGGUGAACGGCCACAUUGGGACUGAGAGACGGCCCAGACUCAUACGGGAGGCAGAAGUGGGGAAUAUUGCACAAUGGGCGGAAGCCUGAUGCAGCAACGCCGCGGGCGGGAUGACGGCUUUCGGGUUGAAAAACGCUUUCGCCUGUGAACAAGCGUGAGUGACGGUAAUGGGUAAAGAAGCACCGGCUAACUACGUG